rfam:Vigna angularis cultivar Jingnong 6 chromosome 9, whole genome shotgun sequence.
AGCCGUGUGAUGAAUACAUAGCGAAUUAUUCUUUCGCCUUUUACUAAAGAAUACCGUGUGUUCGUCACUACAAACGGCAUACGCCACUUUUUGGAAGGGUCAUCAUAUGGUGACCC